UCAAUUUCACUGUAACAAAUCAACAAAUUUUUGAUACUUGGGUCGAUGGUCUUUCGGUGCUUUUGAAUAAAGAGAUGCCAUCAGCGACUUCGAAAGAAGAUCUAGAG